GCAAGUAGAACGCUGAAGCUUGGUGCUUGCACCGAGCGGAUGAGUUGCGAACGGGUGAGUAACGCGUAGGUAACCUGCCUCUUAGCGGGGGAUAACUAUUGGAAACGAUAGCUAAUACCGCAUAAAAGUCGACAUUGCAUGAUGUUGACUUGAAAGGUGCAACUGCAUCACUAAGAGAUGGACCUGCGUUGUAUUAGCUAGUUGGUGAGGUAACGGCUCACCAAGGCGACGAUACAUAGCCGACCUGAGAGGGUGAUCGGCCACACUGGGACUGAGACACGGCCCAGACUCCUACGGGAGGCAGCAGUAGGGAAUCUUCGGCAAUGGGGGCAACCCUGAUCGAGCAACGCCGCGUGAGUGAAGAAGGUUUUCGGAUCGUAAAGCUCUGUUGUAAGAGAAGAACGAGUGUGAGAGUGGAAAGUUCACGCUGUGACGGUAUCUUACCAGAAAGGGACGGCUAACUACGUGCCAGCAGCCGCGGUAAUACGUAGGUCCCGAGCGUUAUCCGGAUUUAUUGGGCGUAAAGCGAGCGCAGGCGGUUAGAUAAGUCUGAAGUUAAAGGCUGUGGCUUAACCAUAGUACGCUUUGGAAACUGUUUAACUUGAGUGCAGAAGGGGAGAGUGGAAUUCCAUGUGUAGCGGUGAAAUGCGUAGAUAUAUGGAGGAACACCGGUGGCGAAA
rnacentral:rRNA from 1 species